rnacentral:rRNA from 1 species
GUGGGGAAUCUUCCGCAAUGGACGAAAGUCUGACGGAGCAACGCCGCGUGAGUGAUGAAGGUCUUCGGAUUGUAAAGCUCUGUUAAUCGGGACGAAAGAGCCUAGUGUGAAUAAUGCUAGGAAGUGACGGUACCGGAAUAGAAAGCCACGGCUAACUACGUGCCAGCAGCCGCGGUAAUACGUAGGUGGCAAGCGUUGUCCGGAAUUAUUGGGCGUAAAGCGCGCGCAGGCGGAUCUGCCAGUCUGUCUUAAAAGUUCGGGGCUUAACCCCGUGAUGGGAUGGAAACUACAGAUCUAGAGUAUCGGAGAGGAAAGUGGAAUUCCUAGUGUAGCGGUGAAAUGUGUAGAUAUUAGGAAGAACACCAGUUGCGAAGGCGACUUUCUGGACGAAAACUGACGCUGAGGCGCGAAAGCCAGGGGAGCGAACGGGAUUAGAUACCCCGGUAGUCC